ensembl:lncRNA
UUUUUUUUUUUUUUUUGCAAAACCUGAGUGUCCAACCCCAAAAGCAAAAGCAUCCCUUUAGCCAGAUUCCCUUCCACAAGUACAUUAUGGAAAUCUCCAAGUCUCAGCAUGUCUUGAAAUCCUCCAUUCACCCCCCUGAGCCGGUGCUUAAGGGGUCCCUUCCUGCAGAGCUCCGUGUUUCGUUUAAAUUCCGGUGCCGUCAUCCAGGGCAGGAAUCUCAGCUUUGGGAUUCUUUGCCCGUCACCUUCAAUCUGCGUUACUAUGGGUACUGGAAAGCCUAUUACUGUACAAGGGUGGGAGCCACCAGCCAGGAAAAGCACUGAGAUUUCCAGCAGCAACAAAAAAACAAACAAAAAAAAAGCUCCAAAAAUAAAGGCAAACAGCAAAGAAAAUCGGCAGCCACUCACAGGACGUAAUUUUCUACAAUAUCUUUUUCUUAGGAAUGCCAAAAGCAUUAAUGUUAUUAGAGGCAAAUAAGAAUGGAAGGUGAGAUCUCUGCUCCCUGCCCCGUGGUGUCACACAGAACAUCUAUUGCACGCUGUCUUUGCUGUGUUUCUCACCUCUGCAGGAAUACUCUGGGAAGUAAAUAUCAUUCACAUAAGAACAGCACCCUGUCAACAAGUCUUUUUUAACACUGAAAUAAUCAAUGAAGGAACAGCAAUCUGCCCUGCAGCCUUCUGCACUCUCCAACAUCUACAAUAAGAUUUCUGCAUGUUGGCAGUCAAUACAGUUCAAUUAAUGUUUAAUUCAUGCUUUCUUCCUGAAGCAAGAUGAAAAGACAGAACAUUUAUCAACAGCAGAACCACAGCAAAAACAAACACUUCUUGUUCCAAUAUUACCAUCCUUUUGAGAUGCAAGGCACUGUAUCUGAGAACAACCAAAAUGUCAUCUGCUGUUUGUUUUCCAGGGCUGCAUUAAGUUUUGCAGAUGAUCAAAUAAAAUAUUAGCCUAAAAAAUAUAUGGUGAAGGGAAUUCUUCAGUGAAUGCAGCAGCCACACUAAAGCAUCUUUAUGAUUUUCAGAGAAGAUAUUCUGGAAUCUAUACACAAUCCCAUUGUAUCAAAGUGCAUGCCAGCUAAAAACUCAGUCCCACUAAAAAUCUUUUAUUUUCCGAGCCCCAUAUUUGUGGCUAUCAGGUAGAUUUCUGGCCAUCCAAGUGAGUGCUGACUGCUCCUAAGAGGCUGGUAAAGCACUCCCUGCUUCACUGCCAUGAUCCCUCUCUCAACAGCAAGCAUCUGUCUUGCUGAAGAUCCAUGUUUUAUCUCCAUGACUCAAAUGUCCAGGGCUCUAAAAAUAAGAGUUUAAAAUCUAAUUCAUGUCUAUGGCCCACCUAAUCACCCAGAAGGCCUCAGUAAAUGCUUUUUCAUUGUUUCCUUUUUUAUUGUGUUCUUUUUCAGCUUCCUCUGCUUAACCAGCAGAUCCAGCUAUUCACAGUUAAAAAUUAACGUCUUAAACACAAACACGGAUCUAAUCCACCAACAGGAAAGGCUGGUGAAGACAGAGGGUGAGCCCAGCCAGGGAUAUCUGAUGUAAUGAGCAUCCUCAGCAUUUUGAUUUGUUGUGACACUUUAGUACAAAAUAUGUCCUUCCCCUUAUCUUGAAACUUCUCAUAUCAAAAUGAAGCAGAACGAAAAAUCCUUUGUGUGAAGUGCUGGAGGAACGGGAAUGGCAGAAGAAAGGCAGGUGGCAUUUUUACAGACUUUUCAGGGUGCCAAAUUAUUUUAGACAAAUGUCAUCAUCCUGUACAGAAGACAAGGUCACAACACAUGCCAAGAGACCAAGAUGCCACUGACUAUGAGAAGUUUUGCUUGGUUACCACCACCCUGGGAAGGAAAUUGUUUUAUAUCAGCAGCAGUUCUCUGCUAGGGUACACAACAGUCUGAAUCUUUCACACCAGGGUUUGAAA